UUUUGUGUGAGCAUUCUGCUCUCGGUAUGUGGUGGGUUUUUUUGCCGCUUAGUUCCUUCUUCAGAAUUUAUUUUAUAUUUGUUCUCCAUUUUUCUUCAAAGAAUGUACAUUUUAAGGCCUUGUACACUUGUAA